rnacentral:lncRNA from 1 species
GUCGACCUGAGCGGAUGAUCAGAGAUAAUUUAAGACUUCCUUCAAAUGGCUACUAUUGUUGAUUUCGUAAUCCCAAAAGUAAGGUGUCCAAAAAUAUUUAGAAAUCACAGAAACAUUUAUUAUCAAUGAUAUUUGCAUCCUUUUAUGGUUUGAACAUUUAAUCUAUUUUUCUUCAUAAUCGCUAUUUCAGUCAAUGCAUUUUUGUAGGCGCUGGGGCAGCUUUUGUAUGCUCACGUCAUACCAGCUCACCGCCAUGUCGUUGAGGAAAUGUUGAACCUGUUCUUUCAUCUCGUUGCUAAAGCGCGUUCCGGUCAAAUGUUCUUUUAAAUUUAGGGAAAAGGUGGUAGUCUCUGUGUGCCAAGUCCGGACUAUAAGUUGGGUUGCUGUUUAUGGUCUUCUGUAAGCAUUCGUGGAACCCAUCAGCGGAAACAGGAAGAAAGAGUGUGAGAAUGUUCUGGUGAAAAUGUACAGCAGGGUUUGCCACAACGACUCACCGCAGGUUCGUGGAGCUUUAAGUGUUUUCACUCAAUCAACAUUCACAACGCCUGGCCUGGCAAUGGAAUUCUACGAUCGCGAGUCUACCGCCCUAACCACUGGGCCGUUGCACCCACACACUCUCACACACACACACACAUAUCAUCAAUGUUUGUUUGUAUGUAUGUACUAAAAUAUCAACGUGUAUAUGAGUGUAUACACACACACACAUAUAUAUAUGUAUGUAUAUAUAUUCGUAUAUAUAUAUAUAUAUAUAUGUAAACAUGUAAAUAAUGAGGGAGAUAACUAGAAUAUUAAUUUAAUUAAUUAAUAUCAAUUUAUAUAUAUAUAUAUAUAUAUAUAUAUAUAUAUAUAUACCGGAGUAAACACAUAAAUGUGAAACAAGGUGAAAAAAUACCAGUCGUAGAGUAAUAUGCUUUAUUUAAAGCAGCAGAAAAUUCAACAAAACCUGUUACUCAGAGUAACAGGUUUUGUUGAAUUUUCUGGUGCUUUAAAUAAAGUAUAUAUAUAUAAUAUAUAUAUAUAUAUAUAUAUAUAUAUAUAUAUAUAUAUAUAUAUAUAUAUAUAUAUAUAUAUAUAUAUAUACAUACAUACAUACAUACAUACAUACAUACAUACAUACAUACAUACAUACAUAUAUAUAUAUAUAUAUAUAUAUAUAUAUAUAUAUAUAUAUAUAUAUAUAUAUAUAUAUAUAUAUUUAGUCUCUUAAUUUUUAAGUGUACCUCAAGGAAAUCUAUCCGAAUGGUUAAAGGCCUGAGAGAUAAAACGUCUGGAUCUGAGAACACAGGUUCGCUUUCUGCACAGUGCAUUUUAGUAUUCCUAACUUUUCCAAGCUUUAAGGAUAGUUCCCUAGAUAAUUACAUGCAUAAAUACAUGAUACACAUGAACACACAUGGACAGACUUAUGUCCUUGUUAAAGCAAAAGGUAAUAUAGUGAGGUUCUAGUUCAUAGGAAGAUAUUGGAUAUGCAAACGUUUAAAGAGAGAAAAGCUCGACAAAGUGAUCGCUGGAGUGAAUGCAUAACUAUAAACAAUAUACAUAUAUGUAUAUGUAUAUAUAUAUAUAUAUAUAUAUAUAUAUAUAUAUAUAUAUAUAUAUAUAUACAUAUAUAUAUAUAUACAUAUAUAUAUAUAUAUACAUAUAUAUAUAUACAUACAUAUAUAUAUAUAUAUGUAUGUAUGUAUAUGUAUAUAUACACACAUAUAUUUAUAUACAUAAACCUACAAAGACACAAACACACGUAUAUGCAUGUAUGUGUGUGUAUAUCUAUAUAUAUAUGCAUAUAUGUGUAUGCAUAUAUAUAUAUAUAUAUAUAUAUAUAUAUAUACAUUUACAUAUAUGUAUAUAUAUAUAUAUAUACAUAUGUAUAUAUACAGAGAUGCAUAUAUAUAUAUAUGUAUAUUAUAUAUAUAUAUAUAUAUAUAUAUAUAUAUAUAUAUAUAUAUAUAUAUAUAAACGCUGGAUAUGGAUGGUUGGCGAUAUUAACAAACAUCUGCUUAUUUACAUAAUUUUAAUUAAUGUUGGUAGAUUAAUGUACGUUACAACGCGUGUAUAUGCAUUAAAUAUACACCACUAUUAAAAUGCGUGUAUAUAUAUAUAUUCACACUUAUAUAUGUAUGUAUGUAAACAUAUAUAAACAGAUAAACAAGCAUAUAUAAGUAAGUAUGUAUAUAUAUAUAUAUAUAUAUAUAUAUAUAUAUAUAUAUAUAUAUAUAUAUAUAUAUAUAUAUAUAUAUAAUAUAAUUAUCUGUACACGUGCGUGCGCGUAUGAGAGAGAUAAAGAUAAAUAUAAACACAAAUAUGAGCAUAAUAUUGUUGUAUGUAUGUUUAUAAUAAUGGUUGUGUGACACAACAAUUGCAGACGAUGCGUCUAGUCAUCCCUCCCACCCGCUCUAUAUUAAGCCUUCUCUCUCUAUACAUAUAUUUCAUAUCUCUCACUCUCUUUUUCUCAUUGUGAUUAUCUUUUACUUUUAUAUGAAUAUUUGCGUUUAUCUAUCAAUCA